GAUAACCUGACUAGGGCCACUUUCAUCUUCGAGAUUCUUCUUCGACAGAGGAUGCUUCCUGUUCCGAUGGAACCAUUGUCGUAACGCGAUCUCUUCGACUCCUCUGUACACGUUCUCUGCCGACGAAAUGCUUUCUCUUCCUCUUAACGCAUUUUCCAGUCUCCUUUACAAAGAGGUCAUCGAGGUUAUCUCUCUCAUUUGCCUCUUGAUUUUUUUCCUUCGUUUAACUCGGGAAAGAACCCUAGAGUUUGGGCCACUGUAAAAAUUAAGUUGCCUUCACCGAUGAUGGGAGUCCUUUCGAGUACCAUUAUUACCGGCUAAUGUCUGGUGAAAGCCUCUGUUUGUGUCAAUUCGCUUCCAGCUCUUCUCAUUCGCUUGGACUACCGACAACGUUACGUAACUUUCCACAAUUUCACAUUCAAUUAAUCUAUCUGUUCUUCAAGAUGGUGAAUCUGCAGCUAUAUAUAGGUUAGUUUCCAUCCGUCAAAAUAAAUGUUUUCAUACUCACAAUCAUAUCAAGCAAAUAAACUUUUGCAGAGCAGAAUGAAGUCGUUGUGGCACCACCGUUGAAGUUUUUUUUUCUGCGAUUUGGGAGGUCAGAAAUAUGAAGAGAGGAGGCAAGCUUCGACGCUCAAGUAUCUCCAUAUUUUUAGAAAAAUCACACUUUAAUGUUUCUUGCAGAAUCUAUCUUUACAAUUUUUUUAUUAUUAAACAUCUCAUUAUAUCGUUUUUCAGGUGAUCCUUAUCCAACGUCCACUUGAACAACUUCAAACACCUUUUGAAGGCCGGUUUCGGUGUACAGCAUGAGCGGGUUCGAAGUGGCGCGGAGUAACCUCAACUUCAAACUGUAAGACUCUACUAUGUCUGUGACUCUCGAUGUUUCCUUCCACAAAAAAAUUGGAAAGCUUACAUGGUGACCCUAAGGUUGUUGUCGCAAUGAGCAUAAACCCAAAGAUUGUUGGAGGUGGUCCCGUUUCUUUUUAUCUUACUCUAUUUAGUUGAUAAUUUACUUUGUUAAUUUCGUCUAACAUUGAAUCCAUGAGUUAAGACCGCUUCUAUUAUUCCAAGCUAACUCCCUCUCACUUGCAGGCCGUCUGUUCUUAAACGAACGUCCGUAAUGCUUUUUCACGUUGACAAUAAAACGGAUGCAGAGAGAAGUUUUAUUUGGACACGUAAGUAUAAAUGUCUGUUUUCUUCAUUAUACUUUAUAAACGUUUGGCAAAAACACUUUUCUCAUAUACACUUUUCCACACCAUUCCCGCUUGCAAUAGGCUGGUGGCUACCGUUGCCGGGUAUAUAUCAACUCGACUCCCUCCCUGUUGCGGAGUUUCGAAAAAGUGGAACCACUCACUAUAGUUGAGAGCUUAACGAGUAUAUUGUAACUGCACAGCCUCAGGUUAUCCUUAACACUUUUACGUAUGCAUUUCUUACAAGAUUCAUACGUCUCUCUAAUUUCCCCCCAUUUCAAAAUACAGGAAAUUAAGUUCACUCCGUCAUGUCGACAUUGUAAGAAAGAGGCUCUAUCGGACCACCUGAAGUGUCACAUGGAUAAAUUUACACGCGUUGUUUUUAUUUCAAGCAAGUUAAGCAAUUUAUACACUUCAUUUGAAGCAAGACGGGUUGUAUGUUCUUAAUAUAAUUAUUUUUAAAAUGGAUGAAUUACGAGUCUUAAGUGAUAAAUUAUAGUUCUUUCUAAAUUUUAUAGUGCAUGUAGGAUUAAAAUCCUAACACUCGCCUUAGACAUAAUAGAAAAUCCCCAUGAAAUACAAUUGUUGUUAUGACUAGGUUUACUACGUUAACCGACACAAAUUCAAUCAUAUAAAUUAGAGGCCACGACAAUAGCCCAACUACAAAAAGCUUAUUUCCACCAAUGUAAUCACUCAGCCACUCUUAAUUAAACAAUAUAGUCCAAGUACAAAAACUCAAAACACAAAUGAACUUUGCAUAAACAAAUCAGCUACAACUUCGGUUGCAAACAAACUCCUAAACUUAGAUUAGCAUAUUAACAAUCAUAUAUAUUCCUAAUGUAAGACAAUUUAAGUGAUAACAAAGUCCAGUAAAAACUAUAUAUUCAACUUAUAUUCUAUAACAAAGUCCAGUAAAACCUC
rnacentral:lncRNA from 1 species